AGAAUAUGAAUACGUACAGCUAAAACAUGGAGUAAUUCUCAGAAGCUCACAUUCAAACAUGGGAUAAUGUGGAGGCAUCAGGAAUUUUACUCUUGGGAAAUGUCCUGGAUUAAGACCCCAGACACAUAGAGAAGACAAGAAGCAUUUUAAAGGUACCAGGGAAUCAAGAUGUCAGAGUCAAGACAUUUAUGAAUAUGGAAACAUGUAACUCAAAAUCUUCAGUUUCUGCAAAAAUAAAAAUCUCCCCCAUAAAACCUAAGUUCAAGGAAAAGAUGGAUUGUGGAUUACAGCCUAAGCGUUUUUGAGCCUGAAUCUGUUAUAACAACUUGUGGCAAAUGGAGGCAGCAGGAGGGUGGAGUCAACUAGUCAAGAGUCCUCUGCAGAGAUUGAGAGCUUCUUGAGAGCUGAGACCAUGACAUCACUUGAGUAUCCCUGAAGCAGACACAUAAGUGGAUAUGCAACAAAUGCUUUCUGACUUUCCUCCAUUCCUCUGAAAAUGAGGCCCCUAAGCCUUGGUUUGAUCAGCACAAGCAUAUCACACUGCUUGAUCUGAUGCUGACAUUGUGUACGGGCUCACAAGUCCUCGGUCCACACAGACUGCUGUAAGACUCUGUCUCACUUGCUAUCUCAUUUAAAAUGCCCAACAAGGCUGAGAGGUAGAUACUGUUUUGCCCAGUUUUUAGAUGAGAAAACAGAGAGAGAUAUGAGAUUUAAAAUGAUAGUAGCCACAGGUGUGCUCUAAAUCUAUGUUUGGGAUUUUUAAAAAUAGGGAUCCUAGUUCCUGGUUUCCCACCAUUUUCUAAUUUGUACCUGAGUUUUUGAUCCUGAUGUAGAACUAUACCACUAUAUUUAUGAAAUUAUAUCUUGUUGGUUUUGGCCUACGCUUCUAGCCUGUUGAGUCCUUCUGGAUACUUAAUAUGGUUAUUUUAUCAUCUUAGCUAUUCCUUUCAGUUUGUGUACUUGUCACUAAUAUGCUAAGAAUAUUCUUCUUUCAUGUAAGUUAUUGAUGAGAAAUGCUGAUAGUCCAAAGAUAGAGAGCUGUGUCACCUAUGAGAAACCUUGCUCCAGGAUGAUAUCGAUCCACUCAUCGCUGUUGUUUUGGGUACAUUUGUUUAAUUAUUCUAUCAUGCAGCCCACAUAUUUCCAUUUUGACCAUAAAGAUAACAUGAAAAGCUUUGCAAAUUAAAGUGUAUUUUGUUUUAAAUCAGAUGUUUCUCUACAUGAGUUGAGUUGUUUGCCAUGUAGUAAGCAGACAACAAUUAGUUUUUUAUUUGCUAUUCCAGAGUCUGUGAUUUGGUUCAUACUGUAGUUUAAUGUAUGUACUAAUGAAUAGUGUUUUUGAAAGAGCUUUAUGCACACAUGUAAGUUUUAUCAUCUAUUUCUCUCUCACGAUAUUUUUCCUUUCCUUCCUGCCUCCAAAUAUUUCUAUGUAUUAUAUGUUUAAAAAUAUGAGGAAAAGGUGUGUUUAAAAGAAAAUGAAAGGCUUGUUGCAAACUAAUAUAUUUUCCCAGCAGAAACACUCAUUUAAUGUAUACAUGCAAAACUUUAACACCUGAUUUAAAAAUGUAUGAAGAAACUCAGGAGCUGAAUUACAGGAUUUGCCUGUCUCUCUUUUUCUCUUGCCUUGGGCAAUCUAGUCUAAUUACAAAACUUGCCUUUCAUUCUGUUUAGUGUUUCUCAGCU